AUUACCGAAUUUUGAUCUACUGAU
rnacentral:siRNA from 1 species